rnacentral:rRNA from 1 species
AACGAACGCUGGCGGCAGGCCUAACACAUGCAAGUCGAGCGCCCCGCAAGGGGAGCGGCGGACGGGUGAGUAACACGUGGGAAUUUUCCUCAAGGUACGGAACAACUCAGGGAAACUUGGGCUAAUACCGUAUGAUGCAGAGAUGCCAAAGAUUUAUCGCCUUGGGAUAAGCCCGCGUCAGAUUAGGUAGUUGGUGGGGUAAUGGCCUACCAAGCCUGUGAUCUGUAGCUGGUCUGAGAGGACGAUCAGCCACAUUGGGACUGAGACACGGCCCAAACUCCUACGGGAGGCAGCAGUGGGGAAUCUUGCGCAAUGGACGAAAGUCUGACGCAGCCAUGCCGCGUGAAUGAUGAAGGUCUUAGGAUUGUAAAGUUCUUUAGCCUGUGACGAUGAUGACGGUAACAGGAGAAUAAGCCCCGGCUAACUUCGUGCCAGCAGCCGCCGUAA